CGAGGUCUAUUGCCGCAGUGGCCGAGAGGUUAGAGCGUUCGCCCCACAUGCGGAAGGCCCGGGGUUCGAAUCCCGAUCCCGACAGACCUAAGUUGUUAAAACAGAUAGUGACAGUUCCAUCGCCAAGCGCUCGGCAUCAGGUGUGAAUGUCACAGGUCCUCGGAGAUGACCUUAAAAACGGAUGUCCCGUGUCACAGUAGGUGUGGCACGCUAAAGAACCCUCACUGCUCAAAGGCCGUAAGCGCCGAGCAUAGACCUAAGUUUGAAGCCCUUUGAUGUACACCGGUCUUGGUGACGUCUCCAUAUGAGUCAAAAAUUUUCGAGGGAGACGUUAAGCAAGAUCCAAUUCAAUCUAAUUAAAAUCAAUAUAUGCACCCAGGGGUGCAUGAGCCGAGUUGCAUGGGGUCUUCCUAACCUGCUAUCCAACAAUAUAGCCAAGUUUCAUUUGAUUCAGUUUUAAACUUUUCGAGUUACUGUCCAGAAAUCAUAUUUGUCUGAAGUUUUCAAUCUAUUUUCGGUCACUGUGACCUUGACCAUUGUUCUCCAAAAUCAAUAGGGGCCUUGUUUUGCUGGUAUCCAACACUAUAUCCAAGUUUCAUUCGAUUCAAAACUUCGAGUUAUCCUUCUGAAACCAAAAUUUUUUGGAAUUUUAAAUUUAUUUUCGGUCACUGUGACCUUGACCUUUGAUCUAUUUUCUCCAAAAUCAAUAGUGUCUGUAAGUCUCGUCAUGUGAUUGCCGAGAUUUAGCGAGAGUAUUAACUUCCGGGUACAUCAACAUUUCAGAUUGCACUGUGUAGAGAGUGGUAUACAUAGAUAUAGCGUUAUCAAUCGAUUAUGUGGAGGUUUUAACGAGAUAAACAUGGGAAUUGAAGCAUUAGUGGAGUGGUCGAGGAUUCUUCGCUUCGUGUUUGACGAAUUACGUGUAAUAACCGCCAGUGUACAAGCAUCGACGAGGGUACGUCUUGCAGAUAAAGAGCAGAUAUGCCUUGAAUCUGAGGAUAAAGGUGUUGUGCAGUCAUCAUUAAUGUGGAUGUCUGGUGCCAGUAUGCCCAUAAUGGGGCAGUAGAAGUGUCGAUCUUCAUAUGACAGCAAAUUUUCAAAGGCAGAUAUAAGAAGGCAAAUAAAACUGUUCAAUGUAAAAUACGCCAGUAGUUGGAUAAAACAUCCAAAGUCGGCAUAGUCAAAGUUCACAACAACAAUGGAGGAAUUAACUGCAUCCUCAUUCCGCAGGGCAACAGGCCAUUUUCAGCAACCCCUGAAAUUCUUAAUUGAGGCUAAGUGCCCAUUUUCAGCUCGAACAAUGACAAUUAAAUAGGCCUGUGCAAAUGUUGGGAUUUCCCUCUUGAAUGUGAUGCAAGGGAUGGUUCGCUGCACCUCAAAACAAAAUUUGAAUAUUUGCAUCAGAUUCAAGGACAACACCACCUGAAAGACACCCAAUGCUGUGAUUUGCUAGUGUGGAUUCCUAGUGACACUCAAAUAAUUCACAUUGACAAAGAUGUAUUAUGGUCAACCUUUUAAGCGUGAUAGAGUUUAAUUAUAAUAAUGAAGUAUUUUUGCAGUCUAAAACACACACACAUAACCACAUGUACAUAUACCUUAUUAUGAUAUCAGUGGUGCAUCUAUCAAAGUUAUGUAAUUACAUGUAUAUUUAUUGAAUAAACAUUAUAGACAGAG